rnacentral:rRNA from 1 species
UACGGAGGGCGCGAGCGUUGUCCGGAAUCACUGGGCGUAAAGGGCGCGUAGGCGGCCCUGGUAAGUCUGCGGUGAAAGCCCGGGGCUCAACCCCGGGUCGGCCGCGGGUACUGCCGGGCUGGAGUGCCGUAGGGGCAGGCGGAAUUCCGGGUGUAGCGGUGGAAUGCGUAGAGAUCCGGAAGAACACCAACGGCGAAGGCAGCUCGCUGGGACGGUACUGACGCUGAGGUGCGAAAGCGUGGGGAGCAAACAGG